UACGGGGGGUGCUAGCGUUAUUCGGAAUCAUUGGGCGUAAAGGGCGCGUAGGCGGUCUUUUAAGUCAGAUGUGAAAGCCCUCGGCUUAACCGAGGAAGUGCAUUUGAUUCUAAGAGACUUGAGUAUGGGAGAGGGAAGCGGAAUUCCUGGUGUAGCGGUGAAAUGCGUAGAUAUCAGGAGGAACACCGGUGGCGAAUGCGGCUUCCUGGACCAAUACUGACGCUGAGACGCGAUGGCCUGGUGAGCAAACAGG
rnacentral:rRNA from 1 species